UCAUCUUGUGCUUUUUCGUGCACUCUCGCGGACGCGAUCGACGACAAGACGUGAUUUUCCAACAUCCUUCUUUUCCGUAUCUGUACUUCGUGGAAGUCGGACGUAAACCGUAGACAAGAUGUCUCAUCGUAAAUUCUCCCGCCCCUCGCCAUGGUUCCAUGGCUUUCGCCCCGAGGAAGCGUGCUUCCCGCCACCAGGGCAGAAUAAAGGCUUUCCC